CAAGGCCUCGCGCGAUAGGAGCGGCCGAUAUCGGAUUAGCUAGUUGGUGAGGUAAAGGCUCACCAAGGCGACGAUCCGUAGCGGGUCUGAGAGGACCGACCCGCCACACUGGAACUGAGACACGGUCCAGACUCCGUACGGGAGGCAGCAGGUGGGGUAAGUUUUGGACAAGUGGGGGCAACCCUGAUCCAGCCAUUCCGCGUGAGUGAAGAAGGCCUUCGGGUUGUAAAGCUCUUUCAGCAGGAACGAAACGGUGAGGGUUAAUACCCUUUACUAAUGACGGUACCUGAAGAAGAAGCACCGGCUAACUACGUG
rnacentral:rRNA from 1 species